GCCAUCUUGGUGUAGUGGUCAGCACCCUCGACCGGUAUUUGAGAGGUCAGUGGUUCGAGUCCCGGCGAGGGCA
rfam:Stegodyphus mimosarum contig53019, whole genome shotgun sequence.